rnacentral:rRNA from 1 species
GAUGAACGCUGGCGGCGUGCCUAAUACAUGCAAGUCGAGCGAACAGACGAGGAGCUUGCUCCUCUGACGUUAGCGGCGGACGGGUGAGUAACACGUGGAUAACCUACCUAUAGAACUGGGUUACCUUGGGAAACCGGAAGUUAUUCCCGAUAAUUUUUUUAACCCGCAUGUUUCAUUAUUGAAGGCCGUUUUUCCUUUCCUUUUAGAAUGGAUCCGCGCCGCAUUAGCUAGUUGGUAAGGUAACGGCUUACCAAGGCGACGAUGCGUAGCCGACCUGAGAGGGUGAUCGGCCACACUGGAACUGAGACACGGUCCAGACUCCUACGGGAGGCAGCAGUAGGGAAUCUUCCGCAAUGGGCGAAAGCCUGACGGAGCAACGCCGCGUGAGUGAUGAAGGUCUUCGGAUCGUAAAACUCUGUUAUUAGGGAAGAACAAAUGUGUAAGUAACUAUGCACGUCUUGACGGUACCUAAUCAGAAAGCCACGGCUAACUACGUG